rnacentral:rRNA from 1 species
UACAGAGGUCUCAAGCGUUGUUCGGAUUCAUUGGGCGUAAAGGGUGCGUCGGUGGCGGGGUAAGUCAGGUGUGAAAUCUCGGAGCUCAACUCCGAAACUGCACUUGAUACUGCCUUGCUUGAGUACUGGAGAGGAGAUUGGAAUUUACGGUGUAGCAGUGAAAUGCGUAGAUAUCGUAAGGAAGACCAGUGGCGAAGGCGAAUCUCUGGACAGUUACUGACACUGAGGCACGAAGGCCAGGGGAGCAAACGGG